AGCAAUUACACUAAAGACUCUGCAGACGUCUCUCCACCAAAGAGAGCCUUUUUCCUUAGCCAUAUGAGGUACUUCCGAAGAAUAAUAUGUAUUCCAAAUUAGCUGUACCCAUUGGAUGUCUCUCUGAUUAUAAAAUUUAACAGAUGUUUCAAGAGUAAUGCUUUAUUCUAAGUGGUUAGCUUGCUUACACCUGCCUGAUAUUGUCCUUUCCUGUUAAUUUCAGAACCCCUCCAUAGGCAUUUUUUCCUAUAAAUGUCAACUUCCUUGAUGAUUGCAUCUGGUAACUUGAAAAUGCAAGAGACAUGAGUUUACUGAGCAGUAAUUACUGAGUUAACCAAUUGAAGUAUGCCUGAAUAGGUCAGGAACAUAGAACUUUUUUGAAAUAACAGGAACAUAGAACUAAUGAACAUGAUGGCUAUAGUUCCUUCCAGCAGCCAUAGAAACUUUGUUCAUGAAACAAUCACUGGAUAACAAUAUCGAUCAACCGCAAGAUUACCAUUCCGAGCAGAACAUCAUGCUGCCCAUGGGCUAUGGCUGCUGCCUGCUGCUUGUCAACCGAAGUCUGACGAGAGAGUUCUCUCUAGGCGGAGCAGAGCACUCUUCCAUUCCGCGCCAAUCGCCUAUAGGCGGCGCUUGCCGCUUGGUGGUGGCGGCGGCGGCGGCGGCCGGCGUCGUCGAACAAGCUCUGUCCGAGGCGGAGCGGCACAACCACGUCCCGGAGCCGCCACCGCGCUACCUGCGGAGCUGGCCCAUGCCCCGCCUGUGCAAGAUCAGUCGUGCAGCGAACGGCGCGCGCCUCCGGGGGGCGAGGUGGGUAGGGACGACGGCGGCAGCGGCAGGCCAUGGCGGCGGCGGCGCUGGACGGGUGACGAGAAGACGACCCGAACCAGGGACUUUUCUGAAAAUAAUCGGAUCGCGAUCGAUAAUUGCGAUCCCAUUUAGGGGGUUAUUUGAAAAUAUUAGGGGGUAUUAUGAAAAUAUUAGGAUCGAGAUCAUUAAUCGCGAUCCAUAUGAGGGGGUUAUUUGAAAAUGUACAGGGGUGCGUUCUGUAACUAUGGAUCGCGAUUCCAUCCCUCCGCCGCGGCUCGCCGGAGCGCCGCCUAUCGCCGGCCGUCCCUCGGGUACCUCUUCCUCCUUCCGCACGGUUCGCCCCCCGCACCGUCUCUCGUCGACGAACGAUCUCCGGAGCCCUAAGAGGAACCUUCCGCCUGCGCCGUGGUGGCUGUCAGGUCUGGACUCUUGACUCUCAAGCCUGAACUAACUGAAGAUGGCAGACGUGAUGCUGACCUGGAAGAAAAUGGCCUCGCUGUGGCCGUAGGCCGCACGGCGGACGGACAGAGUGGGGGCGGAGGCGACGCCUCGAGCGUGAACUCGCCGGCGGUAUGGUCCACCACGCCCUCCAGGCAGCAGAGUGCCAGGCAGAGCUUCAGACAGGUGCUUGUGCUCGCACGGCCAUCGC
rnacentral:lncRNA from 1 species